AGCCGCAAAACGUGCUAAGGUAGCAUAAUAAUUUGUCUAUUAAAUAUAGACUAGAACAAAAGAUCUAACAUUUUAAAAAAUUUCUUCAAUUAUUAAUUUAAAAUUAUUCUAAACGUAAUAAAACGUUUAUUAAAUAGAAAGACGACAAGACCCUAUCGAACUUAACUUAAGUUAAACUGGGGAAGUUAAUUAAUUAUUAUUUUAAUUUAAUCUUCAAAAUAAAAAACUAUAAAAAUAAUAAUCAAGUUACCAUAGGGAUAACAGCGCAAUUACUUUUAAAAGUUCUUAUUAAAAAAGUAGAUUACAACCUCGAUGUUGAAUUAAUUUCCUAAUAUAAGCAAAAUUAUAUAAAGAAGGUCUGUUCGACCUAUAAAAAAUUACAUGAUUUGAGUUCAAACCGGUAUAAGCCAGGUUGGUUUCUAUCUUCUAAAUAACUUUUUACAGUACGAAAGGACCUAAAAAUAUUAAUUUUUUUCAAAUUGGCAGAAUAAUGCAUUAGAAUUAGAAUCUAAAUAUAAUAUAU
rnacentral:rRNA from 1 species